CCGGGAGUGAGCUGAGCGUAGGAGCCUUCUCCUCUCCUUACACAGUGCCUUACAUAGAAGAUAUACUCGAUAAAUAUUUGUUGAACUGAAGGAUAUUAAAAGAACAUGAUUAAACACCUAGAGUGUGCCAGAUGGUGACCAGAGAAGGGUCUAAAGCCAGAGUGCCCGUUUUUCUGUCUUCCUGAAGAGCCUUGGUUUGGGGUUAUAAACAUUAAACUGGGUUGGGGCCUUCAGAGUUUUUAAACAACUGCUUGCCCUUGAUGUGGUUAAUGUUAACUUUAGAAACUGAUAAUGAACAACAGAAAACGAAGUGUCUGUGGGCAGCCGUGAUUAACAAUAGUCCGAGGCUAAGGGCUGUUCUUGGCUCCAUGGGGUUUCUGCAGGAACUUCAAUACGACAGGAAGAUCAACCAAGCAAAGAACCUAGAAGGGAAGAAAGAAAAAGUUUCCUUCCCCUCCAGUUUUGGUGCCCAGUUGGGGGCACUUCACGGCCUGGGCACGGCUUGUUCUGCUGCUGUGGCCACUGAGAAGUCCCAGGACUCCAGAUGAGAGCAGGCAGAAG
rnacentral:lncRNA from 1 species